CGAGGGGCAGCGGGGGCGAAGCUUGCUUCGCCUGCCGGCGACCGGCGCACGGGUGAGUAACACGUAUGCGACCUGCCCCCCGCAGGGGGAUAACCGGGAGAAAUCCCGACUAAUACCGCGUAACGCCGCGGGGCUGCAUGGCCCCGCGGCCAAAGGAAGCGAUUCCGGCGGGGGAUGGGCAUGCGGCGCAUUAGCUAGUCGGCGGGGUAACGGCCCACCGAGGCGACGAUGCGUAGGGGUUCUGAGAGGAAGGUCCCCCACACUGGUACUGAGACACGGACCAGACUCCUACGGGAGGCAGCAGUGAGGAAUAUUGGUCAAUGGGCGGGAGCCUGAACCAGCCAAGUCGCGUGAGGGAAGACGGUCCUACGGAUUGUAAACCUCUUUUGCCGGGGAGCAACGGGGUCCUUGCGAGGGCCCAAUGAGAGUACCCGGAGAAAAAGCAUCGGCUAACUCCGUGCCAGCAGCCGCGGUAAUACGGAGGAUGCGAGCGUUAUCCGGAUUUAUUGGGUUUAAAGGGUGCGUAGGCGGGCUGUUAAGUCAGCGGUCAAAUGUCGGGGCUCAACCCCGGCCUGCCGUUGAAACUGGCGGCCUCGAGUGGGCGAGAAGUAUGCGGAAUGCGUGGUGUAGCGGUGAAAUGCAUAGAUAUCACGCAGAACUCCGAUUGCGAAGGCAGCAUACCGGCGCCCGACUGACGCUGAGGCACGAAAGCGUGGGUAUCGAACAGGAUUAGAUACCCUGGUAGUCCACGCAGUAAACGAUGAAUGCUAGCUGUCCGGGGCUUCGGCUCUGGGU
rnacentral:rRNA from 1 species